rnacentral:rRNA from 1 species
AACGGCGGCCGUAACUAUAACGGUCCUAAGGUAGCGAAAUUCCUUGUCAGGUAAGUUCUGACCCGCACGAAAGGCGUAACGAUUUGGGCGCUGUCUCGGCAGCAGACUCGGUGAAAUCUUAGUACCUGUGAAAAUGCAGGUUACCCGCAACUAGACGGAAAGACCCCAUGGAGCUUUACUGUAGCCUGAUAUUGAAUUUUGAUCAAAGAUGUACAGGAUAGGUGGGAGGCGAAGAGACGUGUACGCCAGUAUACGAGGAGCCGAUGUUGGGAUACCACUCUUGUUUGAUUGAAGUUCUAACCUGCACCCAUAAGCUGGGUGAGGGACCGUGUCAGGUGGGCAGUUUGACUGGGGCGGUCGCCUCCUAAAGAGUAACGGAGGCGCCCAAAGGUACGCUCAGAUUGGAUGGAAAUCAAUCGACGAGUGCAAAUGCAGAAGCGUGCUUGACUGUGAGACAGACAAGUCGAACAGGGACGAAAGUCGGGAUUAGUGAUCCGGCGGUGCCGAAUGGAAGGGCCGUCGCUCAACGGAUAAAAGCUACCCUGGGGAUAACAGGCUGAUCUCGCCCAAGAGUUCACAUCGACGGCGAGGUUUGGCACCUCGAUGUCGGCUCAUCGCAUCCUGGAGCUGAAUUCGGUUCCAAGGGUUGGGCUGUCCGCCCAUUAAAGCGGUACGCGAGCUGGGUUCAGAACGUCGUGAGACAGUUCGGUCCCUAUCUGUUGUGGGCGUUGGAGAUCUGAGGAGAGCUGUCCUUAGUACGAGAGGACCGGGAUGGACCUACCGCUGGUGCACCAGUUGUUCCGCCAGGAGCAUAGCUGGGUAGCUAAGUAGGGAAGGGAUAAGCGCUGAAAGCAUCUAAGCGCGAAGCCUACUCCAAGAUGAGAUCUCCCAUUCGUCAAACGAAGUAAGACCCCUUGAAGACGACGAGGUAGAUAGGUCAGAGAUGGAAGUGUAGCGAUACAUGGAGUUGACUGAUACUAAUAGGUCGAGGACUUAAUCAC